rnacentral:lncRNA from 1 species
UUCUAUAACAUCACGUACACUUUACAGUUCAUUAAGAAAAGUUGUAAUAGUGUUCGUUAGUUUGUGAGUGUGUUAGGGGCCUGAAACCAACAAUUGGUAUCAGAGCGCAAGGUGAAGACGAGGGCCGUUUUGAGAGUCGCUUCGAGAAGUGGAGCAGCCUUUUGGCUGCAGGGCUGAAGACGAAGAAGGAAGGUGCAAGGGUGAUCACGUCUGGUGAUCAAAAGAAAGAAGAACGGCAAGACAGAAAGCUGGUUUAUUAGAUCAGCAAGAAAGAGAAAGAAAGAAGGUCGUAGCCGCGCCGCAAGAAAGAGAAAGAAGACGGUGGCGGUUGCCAACCAGACCGAAAGAAAGUAAGACCAAGGAAGACCGCUGUCGGAAAGAUUGUUCCGACUCGAGAAAAAAAAAGAGACCGUGGCCGGAGAUUGAUUUCUGGCGUAAGACCGAGAAGACUGAAGAAGCCGCACGAGACCGAUGGCUUGAAGAAAAGUAGACCGAAGGAGGCAAUCGAGACCAGCGGUUCGCCUGAGAAAGAAAGACGGAUAAGCUGCAAGAAAGAUAGGCGGCUAAACUAG